ensembl:misc_RNA 7SK 7SK RNA
GGAUGUGAGGGCGAUCUGGCUGCGACAUCUGUCACCCCAUUGAUCGCCAGGGUUGAUUCGGCUGAUCUGGCUGGCUAGGCGGGUGUCCCCUUCCUCCCUCAACGCUCCAUGUGCGUCCCUCCCGAAGCUGCGCGCUCGGUCGAAGAGGACGACCUCCCCGAUAGAGACGGUACCGUUCAUCGGUCAAGGGUAUACGGUAGCUGCGCUCCCCUGCUAGAACCUCCAAACAAGCUCAAGGUCCAUUUGUAGGAGAACGUAGGGUAGUCAAGCUUCCAAGACUGCAGACACAUCCAAGUGAGGCGCUGCAUGGGGCAGUUUGCCAUUGUUU